AGAUUGUCACAGAACAAGAAACUUGCCUAAUCAAACAUAAUGGAGGCACCAGACCUCAGCUGACAUUACUGGGGAGCAUCGGCUUGCCUGCUAUGGAGUGUGGACAGUCAUCCAGAAAAGAAAAACUUAUAAAGGAGGGGGGAAGCAGCCUCCAAAGAGAGGAGCAAUCUGGAUGGAAUUGCAGUUCUGAGAACGAUUUCCUUCCCAGCCUCUGUCACUGUUUCUUAUGUCCACUGAUUGGAGUCCUUCAGAUUCACUUCAGAAGCAAGGAAGAGAGAGAACACUUCAGAACACAGAAUAUUUACUGACCAUCUUUGCCGCUCGUAACGACUGUUCACAGAAACUUUCUCUGACCUGGCCAGCAUCCAGCUAACCACAGUUGUUCUAGCUUCAUCCUCUCACCAAUCUUUGGGUUUCUUACAUUGAAAAUGGAUGAUAUUUUACAGUCAAAUAUAAUAUAAUAAAUAGCAUUUGACAGUUGGACGACCAUAUAAUUUAUUGCCUAACCCAUGAUGCUCUGACAGUGAAAAAGUAUGCCACAAUAGGCAUAAACCACAAUAGCACUGGACAUACACAGGGCAUAGGAUCACUCUGUUUGCUGCUGAGCAUUUAUUUGGUGUUUGACACUGGGUUAAGGGCUUUAGAGGCUUUAUCUCAUUUACGUCUUCUAACAAUUCUAUAAGGGAAGUGCUAUUAUGACCCUCAUUUUAUUGGUGAGGAAACAGAUUUGGAAGCUUGCCCAAGGCUGUCAUUCAAAUUCAAGCAGAAGUACAGCACAGAGUAUGCAUCAUAACUAGGAGACUCCCCAGCCUGGGGCUCAGUGGAACUGUUUGAUCAGUCAGCCUUCCCAUCAGGCUGCCUGUCCAUUUUUCAGCCUUGAGCCGGGGUUCCCCUUUCCAUCAGGAAUCCACCCCCAAACCCUAUCACCUGUACCAUGUUCAUACGAAGCCAUGAGAGACAACUUGAUGGACCAAAAAUGAUCUUGUACAGAGCUUUGCAGCCACCUGAUUAAUAAUCGCUGUUAUUCCUCUAAUAGGUAUUGAAACUCUUGAAAUAUGUCCCCCCUUUCUCCUGGAAAGUGAGGGAGAACUUUUCAGAAAUGGUUAUGCUGUAUUCCAAGAGACAGAAAAUAGAUGGAAUGAAAGAGGUGUGGUUCAAAGGACAGCCACAUUCUCUCUUGGAAAAUUAUAAACAUGAAUUAAUCCAGGUACACAUGGACAUAAAAAUGGAAACCAUAGAUACUGGGGACUCUAGAAGGGGAUGGGGUAGAAGAGGAGAAGGGGUUGAAAAACUACUUAUUGGGUACUAUGUUUUCUAUUUGGGUGAUGGGUUCCACAGAAGCCCAAACACCAAGACUGUAUAAUAUACUCAUGCAACAAACCUGAAUGAAUCCAAAACAAUUAAAACAAUACAAAACAAAAACAAAGAAGGCUUUCACCUGCUGAAGAAAUGGCAUCAUUGUGGUAACUUCAGAAGGCAGAAUGGUAAAGGUGCUGUUAAACGGGAAAAAAGGGAAAAACACUAAAAUUUCUUUUCUUCAUUCAUACACUGAAGAAAAGCAUAUGGCUCAGCUUUUAGCAGCUUUGUAUGCAUGGGCACAUUAAUCUAAUUCUCUGAAAUUCAAUUUCCUCCACUGUAUAAAAGGGGAAAUAAUAUCUACUUUACAAUAUAGUAGACAUUAUUAUCUUCUGUAAUAGGGUUCAAGGACAUAAUCUAGAUAGAGUACCUUACUCAAUAGACUGUAGCUAUAAGUGUUCCUCAUACAAAGAGAGGAAGAGACUCUAUGUUUUAGGGUAAGCACCUGUGUGUGGCCUCCCAGAACACAGACAUCAGAAAUACUGAUGCAUGUUGCCAUGUGAAAUGGAUGGUACCAUUUAGGCCUACUUACUAUAGAAACUGAAGCAGGCCUUUGCACAUCUGAAAAGCACAAAAUGCCCAAGGAAAUUAGAAUAAACAACCUGAUAUGGUUUGGCUGUGUCCCCACCCAAAUCUCAGCUUGAAUUCUCACGUGUUGUGGGAGGGACCCGGUAGGAGGUAAUUGAAUAGGUCUUUCCCAUGCUGUUCUUGUGUUAGUGAAUAAGCCUCAUGAGAUCUCAUUGUUUUAAAAAGUGAACUUUCCCUGCACAAGCUCUCUUCUCUUGUCUGCUGCCAUGUGAGAUGUGCCUUUCACCUUCUGCCAUGAUUGUGAGGCCUCCCCAGCCAUGUGGAACUGUAAGUCCAAUAAAACUCUUUCUUUUGUAAAUUGUCCAGUCAGGUAUUUCUUUAUCAGCAGCGUGAGAACAGACUAACACAGUAAAUUAGUACUGGGAGUGGGGCACUGCUGAAAAGAUACCUAGAAAUGUGUAAGUGACUUUGGAACUGGGUAACAGGCAGAAGUUGAAAGAGUUUGGAGGGCUCAGAAAAAGACAGAAAAACGUGGGAAAGUUUGAAACUUCCUAGAGACUUGUUGAAUGACUUUGACAAAAAUGCUGAUAAUAAUAUGAACAAUAAGGUCCAGGCUGAGGUGGUCUCAGAUGGAAAUGAAGAACUUGCUGGGAACUGGAGCAAAGGUGACUCUUGUUAUGUUUUAGCAAAGAGACUGGCGGCAUUUUGCCUCUGCCCUAGAGAUCUGUGGAACUUUGAACUUGAGAGAGAUGAUUUAGGGUAUCUGGCCAAAGAAAUUUCUAAGCAGCAAAGCAUUCAAGAGGUGACUUGGGUGCUGUUAAAGGCAUUCAGUUUUAUAAGGGAAGCAGAGCAGAAAAGUUUAGAAACUGCAGCCUAACAAUGCAUUAGAAAAGAAAAUCCCAUUUUCUGAGAAGAAAUUCAAGCUGGCUGCAGAAAUUUGCAUAAGUAACAAGGAGCUGAAAGUUAAUCCCCAAGACAAUGGGGAAAAUGUCUCCAGGGCAUCUCAGAAGUCUUCAUGGCAGCCCCUCCCAUCACAGGGCCCAGAGGUCUAAGAGGAAAAAAUGGUUUUGUGGGCCAGGCCCAGGAUCCCCAUGCUGUGCACAGCCUAGGGACUUGGUGCCCUGCAUCCUAGCCACUCCAGCCAGGCUGAAAGGAGCCAAGGUAGAGUUCAGGCUUUUGCUUCAGAGGGUGGAAGCCCCACUCCUUGGCAUCUUCCAUGUGGCAUUGAGCCUAUGAGUGCACAGCAGUCAAGGAUUGGAGUUUGAAAACCUCUGCCUAGAUUUCAGAGGCUGUAUGGAAACACCUGAAAGCCCCCAGGAAGAAGUUUGCUACAGGGGCAGGGUCCUCAUGGAAAACCUCUGGUAGGGUGGUGUGGAAGGGAAAUGUGGGGUUGGAGCCCUCACACAGUGUCCCUACUGGGGCACCAUCUAGUGGAGCCAUGAGAAGAGGGCCACCAUCCUCCAGACACCAGAAUGUAGAUCCACCAAUAUCUCGCUCCGUCUGCCUGGAAAGCUACAGACUCUCAAUAUCAGGCUGUGAAAGCAGCUGGGAGGGAGGCUGUACACUGCAAAGCCUCAGGGGUGGAGCUGCCCAAGACCAUGGAGACCCACCUUUUGCAUCAGCACUACCUGAAUGUGAGACAUGGAGUCAAAGGGGUUCAUUUUGGAGCUUUAAAAUUUGACAGCCCCGCUGGAUUUCAGACUUGCAUGGGGCCUGUAGCCCCUUUGUUUCAGCCAAUUUCUCCCAUUUGGAAGGGCUGUAUUUUCCCAAUGCCUGUAAUCCCAUUGUAUCUAGGAAAUAACUAACUUGCUUUUGAUUUUACAGGCUCAUAGGUGGAAGGAACUUGCUUUUCUCAGAUUAGACUUUGGACUGUGGACUUUUGAGUUAACACUGAAAUGAGUUAUGACUUUGGGGUACUGUUGGGAAGGCAUGAUUUGUUUUGAAAUGUGAGAACAUGAGAUUUGGGGGGAGUCAGGGGCUGAAUGAUACGGUUUGGCUGUGUCUCCACCCAAAUCUCAUCUUGAAUUCUCAUGUGUUGUGGGAGGGACCCAAUGGGAGGUAACUGAAUCAUGGGGGCAAGUCUUUCCUGUGCUGUUCUCUUGAUAGCGGAUUAGUCUAAUGAGAUUUAUGGUUUUAAAUAAGAGAAUUUCCGUGCACAAGCUCUCUUGUCCACCGCCACAUGAGACAUGGCUUUCACCUUCCGCCACGAUUGUGAGGCCUCCAAAGCCACA
rnacentral:lncRNA from 1 species